ACGGAAGGCAGCAGUGAGGAAUAUUGGUCAAUGGGCGGAAGCCUGAACCAGCCAAGUCGCGUGAAGGAUGAAGGUAUUAUGUAUUGUAAACUUCUUUAGACGUAGAGAAAUAAGCGGGUCGUGACCCGUGAUGCUAGUAUACGUAGAAUAAGGAUCGGCUAACUCCGUGCCAGCAGCCGCGGUAAUACGGAGGAUCCGAGCGUUAUCCGGAUUUAUUGGGUUUAAAGGGUGCGCAGGCGGUCUUUUAAGUCAGUGGUUAAAUCGUGAGGCUCAACCUCAUCACGCCAUUGAUACUGGAGGACUUGAUUGCGGUUGAGGUAGGCGGAAUUCGUCGUGUAGCGGUGAAAUGCAUAGAUAUGACGAAGAAUACCGAUUGCGUAGGCAGCUUACCAAGCCGUAAAUGACGCUCAUGCACGAAAGUGCGGGGAUCGAACAGGAUUAGAUACCCUGGUA
rnacentral:rRNA from 1 species